GAUGAACGCUGGCGGCGUGCCUAACACAUGCAAGUCGAGCGAUUCUCUUCGGAGAAGAGCGGCGGACGGGUGAGUAACGCGUGGGUAACCUGCCUUGUACACACGGAUAACAUACCGAAAGGUAUGCUAAUACGAGAUAAUAUGCUUUUAUCGCACGGUAGAAGUAUCAAAGAUUUUGCGGUACAGGAUGGACCCGCGUCUGAUUAGCUAGUGAGUAAGGUAACGGCUUACCAAGGGGACGAUCAGUAGCCGAGCUGAGAGGGGGAGCGGCCACAUUGGAGCUGAGACACGGUCCAAACUCCUACGGGAGGCAGCAGUGGGGAAUAUUGCACAAUGGGCGAAAGCCUGAUGCAGCAACGCCGCGUGAGCGAUGAAGGCCUUCGGGUCGUAAAGCUCUGUCCUCAAGGAAGAUAAUGACGGUACUUGAGGAGGAAGCCCCGGCUAACUACGUGCCAGCAGCCGCGGUAA
rnacentral:rRNA from 1 species